AGACCAUAAUUGUUUUAUUCUAGUGUUAGUUUUGCGGAUUUCGUUAUUCACACGCAUUAUACAUGAGGUCGUGUCUGAGGUAUCGUCACAACAACAGUGUUUUUCAUCAUAUUUACGUUUAAAAAAUCCCUCAAACCUGUUAUGCACUUUCCGGCUUUGCUGUGAGCUACGUCGUUGGCACCCGUCACACAAACAACGAUGUCACUGUUCUUCAGUGUAUUCCCGUGUUCUGAGACACGACUUUUUAUCGGGACAUUUCAGGAGGGCAUGUGGAAAGACUUGAUACUGUUGACAGUAUAUGCAUAACUGCUUUGAAACUAUUCACAGUGCGACGCAUUUUCCGUAGCUGCUGUGUGUUUCCGGUUACAGACACGGGAAGUCAAGAGCAAUAAUAUUGUGGUUGGGCAAUAAGAGUGAACAGUGAAAACUUAAGGAAAAUCCGAUAACAUUGGCAUGGGCACCUAGUUCAUCUGAUAUUAAAUGACGCAGAUAACUAAUUAAACCAUUAUUAGCAAGAAAUUGCCCCAGCUGGAACUGCCCGUUAUUAUUCUGAGUCGAUCCAGUAGAAGGUACGUCCUGCAUCCGUAACAGACGGCUCUCGAGUGUCAACGAUUUACGAGAAUAGAAGGCUGGGAAUUCGCAGACUAGCUGCCCCAUUGCGACUCUGCGGCCACGAACUUGGGAAGGCUGACGGUUGUGGAUACACCCUCGCACGUCGCUAAGCAACCAAGACUACCCGAACACUCCAAAGGCCGCACAGCUGCUACGUGAAACGAGUUCUUAACGAGGUUGUGUGAUGUCCCCUGAUGAGUUCUGUUCUGCCCGUGGUGAACACAGUUUAUUGAAAAAUAGACAGAACAUCACUAACUUCAUAAAGUAAACAUAUUUGGCAUCUUUGGUAUUCAUAUUGUGGAUAAAGAACAGCCAAGCACUCCCUAUGGGCCAGCACCAAUUUCACCUGACAGAACUCUUGUAGGGCUGCCCUUGUUUUUACUUGUAAGAUCUGUUGCAGCCUUCAUCAGAAGAAGAAGAUUUAUGGAAAAUGGUCUCUGGAUGAAAACAGACACAACACUGGUGCAAUAUUCUACAAUAUUUAUUAUUUGUUCCACAAACAGUUUAUUGGCUGUUACACCAUCAUCUGGUACAAAGUUAAGUGUAUGGUGCAGAGAUAUUCUGUUGGGUCAAAGAUUUUAAACCAGUGCAUCUACACUGUAUCUUCAUUUCCAGAUAUGAAAAUGUUUAGCAAUGAAAUAAUGUUAUUUCAGUGUAAAUGUAAUAUAAUCUUUUGUAACUAAGAGAAAAUAUGUGACAAAUCAACAGAUGAAUGAUGUACAAAUUAAAACAGUUGUUUA